rnacentral:rRNA from 1 species
UGGGUAACCUGCCUCAAAGAGGGGAAUAGCCUCCCGAAAGGGAGAUUAAUACCGUAUAAUAUGUUUAAGUCGCAUGACUUUAACAUCAAAGGAUUUUCUUUUAGAAAUUCCACUCUGAGAUGGACCCGCGGCGCAUUAGCUAGUUGGUGAGGUAACGGCUCACCAAGGCAACGAUGCGUAGCCGACCUGAGAGAGUGAUCGGCCACAUUGGAACUGAGACACGGUCCAGACCU